GGUUAAGCGACCAAGCGUACACGGUGGAUGCCCUGGCAGUCAGAGGCGAUGAAGGGCGUGCUAAUCUGCGAUAAGCGCCGGUAAGGUGAUAUGAACCGUUAUAACCGGCGAUACCCGAAUGGGGAAACCCAGUGUGAUUCGUCACACUAUCAUUAACUGAAUCCAUAGGUUAAUGAGGCGAACCGGGGGAACUGAAACAUCUAAGUACCCCGAGGAAAAGAAAUCAACCGAGAUUCCCCCAGUAGCGGCGAGCGAACGGGGAGGAGCCCAGAGCCUGAAUCAGCAUGUGUGUUAGUGGAAGCGUCUGGAAAGGCGCGCGAUACAGGGUGACAGCCCCGUACACAAAAGCGCAUGUGCUGUGAGCUCGAUGAGUAGGGCGGGACACGUGGUAUCCUGUCUGAAUAUGGGGGGACCAUCCUCCAAGGCUAAAUACUCCUGACUGACCGAUAGUGAACCAGUACCGUGAGGGAAAGGCGAAAAGAACCCCGGCGAGGGGAGUGAAAAAGAACCUGAAACCGUGUACGUACAAGCAGUGGGAGCACAGGUUUACCUGUGUGACUGCGUACCUUUUGUAUAAUGGGUCAGCGACUUAUAUUCUGUAGCAAGGUUAACCGAAUAGGGGAGCCGGAGGGAAACCGAGUCUUAACCGGGCGUUAAGUUGCAGGGUAUAGACCCGAAACCCGGUGAUCUAGCCAUGGGCAGGUUGAAGGUUGGGUAACACUAACUGGAGGACCGAACCGACUAAUGUUGAAAAAUUAGCGGAUGACCUGUGGCUGGGGGUGAAAGGCCAAUCAAACCGGGAGAUAGCUGGUUCUCCCCGAAAGCUAUUUAGGUAGCGCCUCGUGAAUUCAUCUCCGGGGGUAGAGCACUGUUUCGGCCAGGGGGCCAUCCCGGCUUACCAACCCGAUGCAAACUGCGAAUACCGGAGAAUGUUAUCACGGGAGACACACGGCGGGUGCUAACGUCCGUCGUGAAGAGGGAAACAACCCAGACCGCCAGCUAAGGUCCCAAAGUCAUGGUUAAGUGGGAAACGAUGUGGGAAGGCUCAGACAGCCAGGAUGUUGGCUUAGAAGCAGCCAUCAUUUAAAGAAAGCGUAAUAGCUCACUGGUCGAGUCGGCCUGCGCGGAAGAUGUAACGGGGCUAAACCAUGCACCGAAGCUGCGGCAGCGACGCUGAUGCGUUGUUGGGUAGGGGAGCGUUCUGUAAGCCUGUGAAGGUGUGUCGUGAGGCAUGCUGGAGGUAUCAGAAGUGCGAAUGCUGACAUAAGUAACGAUAAAGCGGGUGAAAAGCCCGCUCGCCGGAAGACCAAGGGUUCCUGUCCAACGUUAAUCGGGGCAGGGUGAGUCGACCCCUAAGGCGAGGCCGAAAGGCGUAGUCGAUGGGAAACGGGUUAAUAUUCCCGUACUUGGUGUUACUGCGAAGGGGGGACGGAGAAGGCUAUGUUGGCCGGGCGACGGUUGUCCCGGUUUAAGCGUGUAGGCUGGUUUUCCAGGCAAAUCCGGAAAAUCAAGGCUGAGGCGUGACGACGAGGCACUACGGUGCUGAAGCAACAAAUGCCCUGCUUCCAGGAAAAGCCUCUAAGCAUCAGGUAACAUCAAAUCGUACCCCAAACCGACACAGGUGGUCAGGUAGAGAAUACCAAGGCGCUUGAGAGAACUCGGGUGAAGGAACUAGGCAAAAUGGUGCCGUAACUUCGGGAGAAGGCACGCUGACACGUAGGUGAAGUGAUUUACUCAUGGAGCUGAAGUCAGUCGAAGAUACCAGCUGGCUGCAACUGUUUAUUAAAAACACAGCACUGUGCAAACACGAAAGUGGACGUAUACGGUGUGACGCCUGCCCGGUGCCGGAAGGUUAAUUGAUGGGGUCAGCGCAAGCGAAGCUCCUGAUCGAAGCCCCGGUAAACGGCGGCCGUAACUAUAACGGUCCUAAGGUAGCGAAAUUCCUUGUCGGGUAAGUUCCGACCUGCACGAAUGGCGUAAUGAUGGCCAGGCUGUCUCCACCCGAGACUCAGUGAAAUUGAACUCGCUGUGAAGAUGCAGUGUACCCGCGGCAAGACGGAAAGACCCCGUGAACCUUUACUAUAGCUUGACACUGAACAUUGAGCCUUGAUGUGUAGGAUAGGUGGGAGGCUUUGAAGCGUGGACGCCAGUCUGCGUGGAGCCGGCCUUGAAAUACCACCCUUUAAUGUUUGAUGUUCUAACGUGGACCCGUAAUCCGGGUUGCGGACAGUGUCUGGUGGGUAGUUUGACUGGGGCGGUCUCCUCCUAAAGAGUAACGGAGGAGCACGAAGGUUGGCUAAUCCUGGUCGGACAUCAGGAGGUUAGUGCAAUGGCAUAAGCCAGCUUGACUGCGAGCGUGACGGCGCGAGCAGGUGCGAAAGCAGGUCAUAGUGAUCCGGUGGUUCUGAAUGGAAGGGCCAUCGCUCAACGGAUAAAAGGUACUCCGGGGAUAACAGGCUGAUACCGCCCAAGAGUUCAUAUCGACGGCGGUGUUUGGCACCUCGAUGUCGGCUCAUCACAUCCUGGGGCUGAAGUAGGUCCCAAGGGUAUGGCUGUUCGCCAUUUAAAGUGGUACGCGAGCUGGGUUUAGAACGUCGUGAGACAGUUCGGUCCCUAUCUGCCGUGGGCGCUGGAGAACUGAGGGGGGCUGCUCCUAGUACGAGAGGACCGGAGUGGACGCAUCACUGGUGUUCGGGUUGUCAUGCCAAUGGCACUGCCCGGUAGCUAAAUGCGGAAGAGAUAAGUGCUGAAAGCAUCUAAGCACGAAACUUGCCCCGAGAUGAGUUCUCCCUGAGACUUUAAGUCUCCUGAAGGAACGUUAAAGACGAUGACGUUGAUAGGCCGGGUGUGUAAGCGCAGCGAUGCGUUGAGCUAACCGGUACUAAUGAACCGUGAGGCUUAACCUU
rfam:Salmonella enterica subsp. enterica serovar Macclesfield str. S-1643 chromosome, complete genome.